rnacentral:piRNA from 1 species
UACACAAUGGCAAAGGAGUGUGGGCA